AAGGGCUCCCACAAAGAUUUAUUAAGUUACUAUACUCCUCGAAGGACCUAGCAUAAUGGAGAGACAGAGCAUGAACAGGGGAGGGUCAGAGAGAGGGAGUCACAGAAUCUGAAAUAGGCUCCAGGCUCCGAGCUGUCAGCACAGAGCCCGAUGCGGGGCUCGAGCUCACGGACCGCGAGAUCAGGACCUGAACUGAAGUCGGCCGCUUAACCGACUGAGCCGCCCAGGCGCCAAAGGACGGUUUUCUUUAAAAUGAUGGUGGGAUCUCAUAUGGCCAUGUUCAAGAUCAGUGACGUUUUCAGAAAAGAGUAAGAAUUGAUGCAACUGCAGUGGGAAGCCUGGAGCAAAGCCUGAGGGUCAAGUUUGACAGAGCUCAGGACUGCUCUGGAUGCAUGACAGACCUUGGCUUCACCAGACCCCAAGCAUGACCUCAUUUUCUCAUAAAUAGGGAAAUGCCUCUUUAGCAAGGAGCUUACAGUCUUCUAUGUAAAAUAAAAAUUGUCCUUCUUGGAUAUAUUCCUGCUGGAGUCCUGAAAAGCUGGAAUUCGUUUCGAACACCAUAUAUAAGUUGUUUGAAGAUAUUGUUUCAAAGAGAUGCCUCAGGAACCACUUAAGAAGAAUACUCAGCUUCAGAUCCGUUCUGUAACGUUGGCACACACCAAGGAAAAGCACAGUCCAGAAGCUAUGCGUUUCUUUUUUCUGGACCACUCAUCUUUUUGGUAUGCUGGCACAAUUGUUUGCAAGCUCUCAUCAUCAUGGGGAAGUCAUCUAUUAAGAACCAUCUGCUGAAGAGAAUUCCAGUCCCUAAUAUUACAUCGCUGCUGGAGCUGUCCAUGUUCUUCCCCACUGCCCACCACUACCUUUCUCACAUUGCUUCUUUGUGCAUGGAGAACAAACAAAUGUACGGGAUUUGUUUUACUUAAGACUUAGCGUGGUGGAGCUAAAAGUAUAGUUCACUGCCUCUCAAACGUCAACGUGCAGAGGAGUCACCUGAGACUCUUAUUAAAAUGCAGAUUUGGGGCGCCUGGGUGGCUCAGUUGGUUAAGCCUCUGACUUCAGCUCAGGUCAUGAUCUCAUGGGUUUUGGAUUCCAGCCUUGAGUCGGGCUCUGUGCUGACAGCUCAGAGCCUGGAGCCUGCUUCAGAUUCCGUCUCCUUCUCUCUCUGCCCUUUCCCCUGUUUGUGCUCUAUCUCUCUGGUUUUUCAACUUCCACUCUGUUGACAUUUUGGGCUGAAUAAUUCUUUAUUGUGAAGGAAUGUUUUAUGCAUGACACGAUGUUUAGCAAUAUCCCUGGCUUCUACUGACUUCUACUGUAGUGUUCUCUCUCUCUAGUCGUGACAGUGAGAAUUAUCUUCCAACAUCGCCAAAUAUCCUUUGGGGAUAAAAUCACCCCAAGUUGAGAACCACUAGGGUAGGGGUUAUCAUGAAGGAUUCUGGAUUAGAAUGCUUGGAUUCAAAUUCUGGCUUACUUACUGUAUGAGUGGCCAUAGGCAAUUUAUAUAAUUUUUCUGAGCCUUAGUUUUCUCCUCUAUAAAAUGGGGAUAAUAAUAGUAUGUACCUUAGAUAUUCAUAGUGUCAGGAUAACAACACAGGAGGUUUCUGAAUUUUCCUCCUCCCACUGACACACCAAAUAUACAGCUACACAUGAAGCAACUUCUUCUGAGAGAAAUCCAAAAACCAGCUGAAUCACUCCUACACAUCAGACAACUGGGGAAAGACCCACAUUGAAAUAGGAAAGGCUGGGGCGCCUGGGUGGCUUGGUCGGUUAAGCGUCCGAAUUCAGCUCAGGUCAUGAUCUCACGGUCCAUGAGUUCGAGCCCCACGUCGGGCUCUGUGCUGACAGCUCAGAGCCUGGAGCCUGUUUCGGAUUCUGUGUCUUCCUCUCUCUCUGCUCCUCCCCUGUUCAUGCUCUGUCUCUCUCUGUCUCAAAAAUAAAUAAAUGUUAAAAAAUUAAAAAAAAAAAAAGAAAUAGGAAAGGCUGAGACAUGCCAUAAACCUCACCCCCAGCACAACACCAUACAGUUGGGAGGCAACCCCCAACUCCUAUCUUCUCCUUGAGGUAUAAAAGGCUUGGACUAUACAUUUAGUGCCCCAACUUUUAAGGCUGCUGCUUAAGGGACAGGCCCUCAUAUUAGGUCCCCUAGCUCUGAAAGCCAGUGGAGUUUGUGUCCACAAGUCCCACGAGACUACAGCAAACAAGGAAAACCCUAAAAAUCAGUUGCAUUUCUGUAUACUAAUAACAAAUUAGUAGAAAGAGAAAUUAAGAAAAUAAUCCCAUUUUCUAUGCCAUCAAAAAAAAUAAAAUACAAAGGGAAAAAUGUAAUCACGAGGGUGAAACAUCUCUACAUGGAAAACCAUAAAACAUCGUUGAAAUAAAUUGAAGAAGCCAAAAAUAAAUGGAAAGAUAUUCUGUGUUCAUGGACUGGAAGAAUUAACAUUGUUAAAAUGUUCAUACAUUUAAAGAUUCAGUGCAACCCCUAUUAAAACUCAAAAUGGCUUUUUCACCAAAAUAGACAAAAACAAUCUGAAAUUCAUACACAACCACAAAAGACCCCAAAUUGCCAAAAUAAUAAGAAACAACAAAGCUGAAGGCAUCAUACUUCUUGAUUUCAAACUAUAUUACAAAACAAUAGCAAUCAAAACAGUGUAGUGUUGUCAUAAAAACAGACACAUGGGUCAGUGGAACAGAAUAGAGAGCACAGAAAUAAACCCCCGUGUAUAUGGUUAAUUAAUUUAUGACAAAGGAGUCAAGACUAUGCAAUAGGGAAAGGAUAGUCAUCAAUUAACAGUGUUGCAAAAAUUGGUUAUUCACAUGAAAAAGAAUGAAAUUGUCCCCUGUCUUACACCAUGCACAAAAAAUCUAAUUAAAAUGUAUUAAAUACAUGAACAUAAGAUCUGAAAAGGUAAAUGUCCUAGAAGAAAACAUAGAAGGUAAGCUGCUUGACAUUGGUAUUGGCAAUGAUUUUUUUGGAAAACAAGUGGGACUAAAUCAAAUUAAAAAGCUUCUGCACAGCAAAGAAAACCAUUAACAAAACGAAAAGUCAACCUGUGAAAUGGGAGAAAAUAUUUGCAAAUCACAUACCUGAUAUGGUAUUAACAUCCAAAAUACAUGAAAUCUCAUACAGCUCAAUAGCAAAUUCCCUCACAAAUAACCCAAUUUAAAAAAGGGCAAAGGACCUGCAUAAACAUUUUCCCAUAGAAGACAUACAAAUAGCCAAGAGGUAUAGGGAAAGGUGUUUGACAUUGCUAAUUAUCAGGUACAUGCAAAUCAAAACCAUGAUGAGGGGUGUUUAGGUGGCUCAGUCAGUCUUGAUUUCAGCUCAGGUCAUGAUCUCAUGGUUGGUGGGUUCUAGCCCUGAGUUGGGCUCUGCGCUGAUAGUGUGGAGCCUGCUUGAGAGUUUCUCCUUCUCUCUCUCUCUCUCUCUCUCUGUACCCCUCCCCUGCUCACAUGCGCUCUCUCUCCAAAUAAAUAAAUAAACAUUAAAAAAACCCC